rnacentral:rRNA from 1 species
UACGGAGGGUGCAAGCGUUGUCCGGAUUUAUUGGGUUUAAAGGGUGCGUAGGCGGCUUGGUAAGUCCGUGGUGAAAGCCAACAGCUCAACUGUUGAACUGCCAUGGAUACUGCCGGGCUUGAGUACAGACGAGGUAGGCGGAAUUGACGGUGUAGCGGUGAAAUGCAUAGAUAUCGUCAAGAACACCGAUUGCGAAGGCAGCUUACUAGGCUGUAACUGACGCUGAGACACGAAAGCGUGGGUAGCAAACAGG